rnacentral:rRNA from 1 species
AGAGCGAACGCUGGCGGCAGGCCUAAAACAUGCAAGUCGAGCGCGUGUAGCAAUACACGAGCGGCAGACGGGUGAGUAACACGUGGGAAUAUGCCCUUUGGUUCGGAAUAACUCAGGGAAACUUGAGCUAAUACCGAAUAAGCCCUUACGGGGAAAGAUUUAUCGCCGAAGGAUUAGCCCGCGUCCGAUUAGCUAGUUGGUGAGGUAAUGGCUCACCAAGGCGACGAUCGGUAGCUGGUCUGAGAGGAUGAUCAGCCACACUGGGACUGAGACACGGCCCAGACUCCUACGGGAGGCAGCAGUUAGGAAUCUUGGACAAUGGGCGAAAGCCUGAUCCAGCCAUGCCGCGUGAGUGAUGAAGGCCCUAGGGUUGUAAAGCUCUUUCGACGGGAAGAUAAUGACGGUACCCGUAGAAGAAGCCCGGCUAACUCGUGCCAGCAGCCGC